rnacentral:misc_RNA from 1 species
UCCGGUUUGUCACCGGCAGUCUCCUUAAAGUGCUCAACUAAAUGGUAGCAACUAAGGACAAGGGUUGCGCUCGUUGCGGGACUUAACCCAACAUCUCACGACACGGGCUGACGACGGCCAUGCAGCACCUGUGUUCUAGCUCUCUUUCGAGCACGAAACCAUCUCUGGUAACUUCUAGACAUGUCAAGGGUAGGUAAGGUUUUUCGCGUUGCAUCGAAUUAAACCACAUCAUCCACCGCUUGUGCGGGUCCCCGUCAAUUCCUUUGAGUUUCGGCCUUGCGACCGUACUCCCCAGGCGGGGUGCUUAACGUGUUAACUAAGGCACCGCAGGGGUCGAUACCCGCGACACCGAGCACCCAUCGUUUACAGCGUGGACUAC